ACUUUAACGUAUAUUUAGUAUAUUUAAAUGUAAAUUUACGAAUUUUAGAAAUGAAUAUGUAAUUGAAAUAUAAUUAUGUUAUUACAUUUUGAAUAUUUUAAAUGAUUUACGAAAUCAAAGGUAUUUUUGAAUUUUACGUUGAAACGGAUUCGAAUUUUGAAAUCACGUUCUAUUGGAAUUAGAAAGCAAAUCCCGAUUACUAUUCCUAGCCCAAUUGGGCAAAGCCCAAACCAACAAAACCCAUAUGACCAUACUCCUUUCUCUUUUCUAAUUCAUGUAAAACAAAAAAAAAAUAAAACCCUAUUCUCUUUCUCCUUCCUCAUUCACGUGAAAACCAAAAAAAAAAAAAAAAGGGAGAAAGCCCACACGCAACUCAGCUCUCCUUCCCUCCCGCUGCUCGCCGCCCAGCCGACCACCAUCAACGCAACCAGUGACUCAAGGCCGACCACCGCACGCGACCGUGCUCAGCCCUGCCGCGAGCCACCGCUGUCCGCCGGCCAGCCCCCCUUAAACUCUUGAAUUGGCGGAGAAUUCUCUUUAGGCGACUUUUGAAAGUGUUAAGGUGGCCUAUCAGUUUGUUUACACAAGUCUCUAAGGAUCAAUAAGCGUUGCCCAUCUACAGGUUUGAAGAUGAUGCAUCAUUGGGAUCGGGAUUAGAGAGCUUGUAGUUCUAUUCGGUUAAUUAAGUGAUUUAAUUUGUUAACCUGGAUUUGAAAUUUGUCGUACUAUUCGUAUUUCCUUAAUUCAGUUAAUUGGUUUGGACCUAAUAUGUAAUAGCUUAUUUAUGAACCUAAAAGUUAGUUUAUGUUUUCCGCUGCAAAAUUCUGAAUAAGCCGUAACGUUUUCACACGGGCGAUAAUACUUUGAUAAUUCCCUACAGUUAUAUUUAAAAAGGGGUUAUUUUAGAAAAUGGGAAUUGUCGGGGUGUUACAAAGUGGUAUUUUUGAGCUAAAGGUUUCACUGACAUUUCGUGUCUACCUUUUAUAUCUUAGGCGCCUAACCAACUAAUUAGUUAUGUAAAAGUAAUUUCACAUUAGUGAAUAAAUUUAAAGUUAUUAGCUAGAAAUGUUUGAAUUUAUUUUAAUAUUGACUCUUGAAUCGUGCUUUGAAAUACGUUUUUAUGCGAAUAAAUGUAUUUCGAUUCUUUUGAAAUU